rnacentral:sRNA from 1 species
GCUAUAGCGGAACUGAAACCGCUAAAGUGGCAGCACAUCUGAUAGAAACAUCUGGCACUAUCUGAUGUGGCGAAAGCCUGCGGGGUAUAUAGGGUAAAUAAAUUCGAGCAAUUGCUGAUGGAAACGACACUUCCAUCAGUUUUU